UCUUUGGUUUUUUUGUUUUGUACGUUCAAUUGCAUCACUUUGCGGGAAGCUUGCGGUCGGAAGUUUGAAAUAUUAUAGAUGGAAAAUGGAAAUGCUUUUAUUGAAUUGCUAUUUACAAAAGAAAAGGUAUACAAACAAUAGUCCGUUGGAUCGUAAAGCGAUAAGAGAGAAAAAGAUGCACGGAGCCGCCCGCUCCUUCGCGGAAGAGUUUUUGCGCCACUGAUUCCUGGAAUGGCGGUGGGCUUUUUUCGCGCCAAACUCUUAUUACAAUGAGAUGAUACGCAUGCUAUUAUCGAACGGUUCCCGAAACAGCAAUCAUUAUUAUUAUUAUCAGUCAAAUAAAAUCUUUCUUUUCUUCUUUGA